GACAACCUGAGAGGCCUGAAGGGUGGGAGCAGCCUUGAAUGACCAACCCUCUUGCCCUCUCCUAG
ensembl:miRNA Mir7031 microRNA 7031